UGUACAUAUGUAUUCAACCUUGCUUUUGACAAACUAUCAAUUUUUUAUUUAACAGGUCUAUUUGUUUUAGGAGUUGAAAAUGGUUAAGGAAGACCAUAAAGCUGUUCCAAAGCAUCCUUGUAAGGGAUGGAUAUAUUUCUUCCAAGAACAGUCAAAGAUGACUAAGAAAAGUUCAUCAAAACGAAUGUCAAUGAGCGAAAUCCGUGCAAAGUGGAAAGCUUUAGGAGACAAGGCUAAACAAAAAUACAUUGAAAAGGUUAAGCUAAGUUCCGAAGAGUACAAAGAGCAAAAGGUUAAGGAAACCUUUACUACAAGAACUCAACUUAAGAAGGCAUGUGAUAUUAUACGCAAUCUUCAACCGCAACAAGUAGAGAGUGUAAAGGCAAUGGGAUUUGGAGGUCUUUUGCGUUUGAAAUGUACCAGGCUAGAUAGAAAACUUUGCGAGCGGUUGGUUAGUAAAUUUGAUCCCGUAUCACUUUGUUUAUAUGUGCAUGGUAAGAGCCCCAUAAUUACACCAUUAGAUGUGCACCACAUACUGGGAUUGCCAUAUGAGGUGAAAGGGUGAUCCUUAAAGAAAACCUUUCUGAAAUACUUCCCUUGUGUGAGACACAUUGUGUGGGUGAUCAAUGUUCAAUUCCGUUGCGUCAUUUGGAAAAAUAUUUAAGGAACACAAAAGACAACAAUGAUAAUUUCAAGGUUGCAUUUGUAUUGGUCAUUAUGGGGGCUGUUCUAUGUCCAACAUCAGAAUUGGGAGUCAAUCGACAUUUUCUACAUGCAGUAAAGGACGUGUCUUCUUUGAGUGAAUUAAAUUGGAGCCAAUUUGUGCUUAAAUUUUUAGCCAAAGGCAUACAAAAAUAUAAGGACAAUGGACAAAAAGUGAUCCGUGGCUGUGUAUUGUUUCUAAUGGUACAUCUCUUAACUCUGUUUUUUACAUCAAAGUAGUUGCUUCAUUAUAGAAUUGAUUAUGUAUCUCUCUUUUUUCUCUACAGUUGUUCUAUUUUGAACAUUGCACGCCGGCCAAAGAUUGCAUUUCCCCUUGUGCAUGUCGACCUUCACCUCGUCUCUUACAUUGGGGAGAUGAAGAGAUUAGGGACAAGAUACAUUGGCUCGAUCAAAGCAGUUCUCGAAAGCUCAAAAUCAUUGUCGAGGAUGGAGUUGGCAAGAGAGAGAUAGCCGUAGAUCAAGGAAGGGAGAUUGGCUAAAAUAUACCGAUGGAAAGAGUUCAAGGGAUAGAAGAAUUAACCAGUAUUUUAAAGAAACUAACGAGCAUAAUGGAAACAAUGGAUGCAAGGGGGAAGAAAACUAAUGACAAUUCAUUGGCGGCUAAAGUAAGCAUGGAUAUGAAAGGCACUCUUUCACCCGUUGUCAACGAGAAAAAAGGCACUAAAGAGCCUUCAUUUGAUAGUUCGACAUCUCCUUUGACAAACAAGAAAAAAGACAGCAAAGAGCAAGCAUCGGGUCAUUUGACAUCUCCAUUGAAGGCAAACCAAGAAGAAAACACUAAAAAGUCAUCAUUGAGUCAUUUGACGUCUCCUUUGAAGACAAACAAGGAACAAGACAUGAAGAAACCUAAAAUUAAGCCUUCAACAAAGAGACCAAGAAAGAUGACCACUAAUAUUGGUGAUAUCAUGUCUUCAACGGCUCCUCCAACUAUUGGCAUGAACAAGAGGUAGAAGAAAUGCCAACAGGAAAUGGCAAGGACUAGGUUCAAGGGAUCUCAACCCGGGAAGAAAAAUGCCAACGAGAUAACACAAAGUAUUUAAGUAUCAUAAGCUUAAUUUUUAUAGAAGUUUCUAAUUUAUAUGUGUCUUCAUUAGUAUACGUGUUUGUUUAUUU